UCUUACACGCUCUUCCAACUUUUCCCAAUAAAACAAAGCCCGACGAAGCGGUAACGCCGUACGCCCUGAAUCAAGCUGUUGUUGGAAGGUAACCCCCAUGUACCAUAAUACGGAUCAUUGGAAGUUAUGAUUAUGCAGUGGCGGAGCUAGGAAAACAUCAGGUCUCAGUUUUGCUAUUGGAGCUAACUCAUCCAGAAUCUUACUCACACUCCCCACUUUUUCCUGACAAACAAAGCCGAGGCUGUAACACCCUGAAGGAAGCAAGCUGCCGUUGGAAGGUAACCCAUAUAUAUACUCAAUGAAAGGUAUGAGCAUAACACUUAAUUCAUUUUUUUUUUUUUUACAAAAACACUCAUUCAUAUUGCUAACAACAAAUUACGUUCUUUAGAAAUUAGAUAUGAACAAUCAUUUGACUCACGAAUCAUAUUUAUAAAAAUCUUAAUAUUGCUGAAUGGUAGGUAAUUUAGUUCCUAGUAUUCCAAGCUCUUUUCUUUUUUCCUGGAUUAUUGCUUGAUUGACGAAAAUAGUAACACACUUUCAUUAUGUCAUAAAGAUUGAUGCCUAGAUUCAAACAUUGUCUUAACAAAACCUCAAGUAAUUAAUUAAAACAAAGCAGCAAAAGUAUAAAAAUAAACUUGGGACUACAAAGACCAAGAAACAAGACAAGAGACCAUGAAAAUGUAGGCUUCUGGAAGAGGAGAUAUGGAAUCAACGGAGUCUUCUAGCUUCUCUCUCGGACUCGAGGAGAGUGAGGAUAUCUCCUUCCCUGACCGGUCCUUUCACG